GGCAGAGUAGCUUAACGGUAAAGUAGUGGUUUCAUAAUCCAUUGAUAAGAGUUCAAUUCUCUUCUCUGCU
rnacentral:tRNA from 1 species